AGUAACACGUGGAUAACCUACCUAUAAGACUGGGAUAACUUCGGGAAACCGGAGCUAAUACCGGAUAAUAUUUUGAACCGCAUGGUUCAAAAGUGAAAGACGGUCUUGCUGUCACCUAUAGAUGGAUCCGCGCUGCAUUAGCUAGUUGGUAAGGUAACGGCUUACCAAGGCAACGAUGCAUAGCCGACCUGAGAGGGUGAUCGGCCACACUGGAACUGAGACACGGUCCAG
rnacentral:rRNA from 1 species